rnacentral:lncRNA from 1 species
AGAUUCUCACUCUGUCAUCCAGGUGGAGUGCAGUGGUAUGGUCUCUGCUCACUGAAACCUCUGCCUCUUGGGUUCAAGUGAUUCUCCUGCCUCAGUGGGAUUACAGGCGUGUACCACCAUGCCCAGCUAAUUUUUUGUAUUUUUAGUAGAGAUGGGGUUUUAACAUGUUGCCAGGCUGGUCUUGAACUCUUGGCCUCAAGUGAUCCCCCAACCUUGGCCUCCCAAAGUAUUGUGAUUAUAGGUGUGAAAUACCACGCCCUGCCUUAAAUUAUUAUUUUAAAUUAAAAAAAUGAUGUUUAGAUGCCACGAUGUAGGUGGCAGUACCUUAACUAUAUGCGUGUCGUCAGGCCCAAGGGCCUCUUCCAUCCUUGUCAAGGGGAGUGCUAACCUUCUCUCCUUUCAUACAAUCCAGCUCUCUUAUUUUGAAUCUGCGUGUAUAUACAUGUUGGUUGAGACCGGUGCAGAGUGAUUGAGACUCGGGCUUGUGGGUCUGGUAGGUUCGAGGACUAACUCCAUCGCUUGGGAGCAUGUGGCCUUGGGCAAGUUACUUAAUCCACUGGGAACAGGGGUAUCGUAACCAUCAGAUGGGGAUACUGUCUGGGAUUCCCAUCCCCUAUAUGGGUCUCAAUCCUCUCAGUUUCUGUGGUCUAACAACUAUGUGCCAGGGACUGGGCCAGGCAGAGGCUGGGGUAUCCGUUAGUAAGAUGGGCACGGUCCCUCGCUGCCUGCUCUGAUUUUUGCCCCAGCUCUGAGAGCAGAUUAAUGGUAUUGUAAGUCCUCAUUGUAUGGUUGAAGUCGAGACUCAGGGGAAGAGACCCUCCCAGAAUCUCCCAGCUUGCCUCGGUACCAUAGGAGCAGGACCCCCAGGCUUCCAGGUGCAGCCUCCCAGGUCGGAAGCCAGCAAGCUGGGGCUGUAGAACAGGAGGUGGCUGGGCCUGGAUUCGCUGGCACUGAGUCCUUAAAGGAACCCUGGGUAGCAGAUGUGGCCGCCUUGUACAUCUGCUCAGCAGUGCAUCACUCCUAAAGGCCCAAAGACUCGUCCGGUCCUGACACUGAGCACGUUUCAGAAAAGGUCCCAGGAAAGACAUUUGAAUUGCCACAGCUGCUCAAGGCUUGCUCCCUCACUCAUGCUGUGGGCAAACUAAACAUCCUCUAGUGGGACCAGGCAAGCAGGGGACAAAAUGGAAUGGGGGUGCGGGGGAGGAGAAAAUAAUUUGAUAUUCCAAAAAAUGCUGCAGAGUAAUCAUUUUGGGGGUGAAAAUCAGAAUUUCUUGGGACUUAGACUUUUUUAUGGCUCAGUGGUGUUUUUCUUUAGAAUUUUGGACUGGAGGUAGGGAUAGACCAUAAUCUUUUCAGCACCCAAGAGCCUUCAGCAGGCCUCACUGGCUCUGGGCAGGGGGCAGGGCUUACAGGACCCAGAGCAGGUGACAUCUUACCCACUGUGGAUACUUCCUCCCUCCUCCCUUUGGCACGGUCUGAGGAAUUUUGAAAUCACCCCAUAGCCAGACCCCUUGCAUUUGCUGCCCAGGAGAACCGGGCAGGGAGGUGCCAUGCGGAAAGUCCCGCUGCCUGAUUUUCCUCUGAGCUCAUCACUGCAGCCUGAGAGCCCCCUUCUCUGUCAAGUGGGUGACUGAACUGAAUACACCAGACCCCCCUUGGCAUUCUUCUAAGAUCCUAAGGAGGAGGAGCUGAGGAAGGCACGGGGUGGAGCCUGGGGCUGUGGUUUGGAGGAUGGGAGGGCUGGGGGAGGGAUUCAGAGAUUGCAGCUGGGAAAUUUGGAUCGGCCUAUGAAGACUUUGUGGUUCAUUCUCAUGAAACUCGCUUCCUCUCACUGGAUUUCUGCCCUGGGGGAUGUGGGGUUCAAGUGAAAACACUGGCUUUUCCUUCUUGGUGACUGAGGCUUAAAUUCUGGUCUCCCAAGCAAAUAUUUAAGAAAUAACUCUCUUUUCCCUCCUUGUCCAUUGUAAAACAAACCCUCUUUUUCGCCCAUGUCUCCCACCCUCCUGAAAAGAAUUCGGUUGUCUUGCUGCUUACUAGCUGGUAGCACCUGGCUUUCCAGCAGGCUGGUUGAAAACAGAAAAUGCUUCUCUGCUUAAGACAGGGAAAGGGCGUGGGCUUUGGCAUCAGAAACCUGGCUUUCCUGUAGACUAGCUGUGUCGGGCCUGGGGCGUCUUCCCAAGACUCAAUUUCCCUGUCUGUGAUAAUACGUGCCUACUUCUCAGGGCAUUAUAAGGACUGAACAAGAAUGUCUGUGUGAAACACCAGGCGCAUGGUCGGGGGUGGUACAUGGUAGUUCUUCCCGGGUGACACCAUAUUCAUCCCAGGGUCCAUGGGACAAUGAGGUCAAAGAAGGACCAGCUGAGGCUGGUGUGCCUGCUUGCUGGCUUAGUAUCUGGGGAGAAAACACUGGAAGAAAAGCAAAUCCUUGCUGGUGGGGUGUGGGGGUGAGUUUGUGUGGGUCCUGCCUCUUCAGUGAGACAUGUCUACCACUUGGGAGGGGCGUAGGGUGGAGGUGGGGGGCCAGGAGUCACAGCCUUUUCCGGGGGUUGGGUUCAUGCGGCCGCCACUUAAGCCUAUCUGAGGGGAGAGGUUAGUGGGAGAGUCAGGAUGAGUUUCUGCUGAAUUCCUUCUUGUCAAGCUUGCUUUUGUGGGCUUAACAUGAGAAGGGUGGGGAGGGGGCCAUAUCUUAAAAAAGAGAAAGGCUGGGUUCAGUGGCUCGCGACUAUAAUCCCAACACAUUAGGAGGCUGAAGUGGGAGGAUCAGCUGAGGCCAGGAGUUCAGACCAGCCUGGCCAACAUAACAAAAUCUCAUCUCUACAAAAAUAAAAAAUAAAUUAGCUGGGUGUGGUGGCUUACACCUGUAGUUUCAGCUACUCUGGAGGCAGGGGCGAGACAGGAUUGCUUGAGCCAGGAGUUUGAGGCUGUAGUGAGCUAUGGUCACACCACUGUACUCCAGCCUGGGCAACAUAGUAAGACCCUGCCUCUGAAAAAGUAAAAGGAAAAAUUAGUCAGGCAUGGUGGUGUGUGCCUGUAGUCCCAGCUACUCAGGAGGCUGAGGUGGGAAGAUCGCUUGAGCCCAGGAGUUCAAGGUUACGAUGAGCUGUGAUUGACUGGGUCACUGCACUCCAGCCUGGGCAAUAGAGGAAGACCCUGUCUCUCUUGAAAAGUGUCUUUGCUUUUGAAACUUCGAGGGCGAUUAAACAGAUACUGAAGUACAAGCAAAAUGUUAGUCUUCAACUUGCCCAGCCAGACCACUGUGUAUCUGGGAAAAGUCAACUAGACUGCUUGCUCCAGCUGGUUGGUCUGGUUGGUGUGGAGGGUGAACCCUCCUCUGGCCCGAGGCGUACACCCUCUCUCCUCCUUCUGUGUCUGGUGAUGGCAAACGUUUAUCUUUGCUCAGGCCUGGGUGCACGCUAACCUCGGCCAAAUCUCUGAAUGUUCAAACAUCUGCCAAAAUACCACAUUUCGACAAUGGGCCUUCUCUAUAGAGAUGAGGUUACGGGGGCAGUACUGGGAUGCUGGAAAACCACUUAAACUAAACUGCGGGAAGGGGCAGGGUCCAGGAUCCUGACUUUGAGUGUAAGGGGUGGGGAAGGAGCAGGGGGCAGCUCCUUGCCAUACAGAGAGGCCUGAGGACCAGCUCCCUGCUUCCAGAGCCGGAGCGGGGAGGGGGCUGCUGCCAACCUAUCUUGGCAUUCUCCCUUUCGUCCUUGGGGUAGAUUUCGUUGUAAUUAGACAAGUUGUGACAAAUAGCCCAUUGGUCUUUGGGCUGGAGAAUUGUGCCGAGUCCUGCCUGGAAACCCAGCCUUGUUCACUUGGGAGCCAUAAUUAGGCAAGAGAACAGUUCAUGAGCCCUUUGAUUCAAUAAAGACCCUUUUAUGAUGUUGGUUUUUCCCAGAAAAAUCAUACCACUUUGCUCCAUGUAUUGCAUUUAGAUGUGUAAUCAUAUUAGAGCUAAGCAGCCCAGGGGACUGAAGUUGUGUAGCUGGGGUUGUAGGGGCAGAAAGGUGCAAUCCCUUUCCUCCCCGUAAGGGUCACGGCUGACAUUUCUGUAACAAAGACAGGUUAACAGGAGAAAAGUUUGACAAAUUUAUUUAAUCAGUGUUUUACAUGACAUGAGAGCCUUCAGAAGUAAGACCCAGAGAACCAGGGAAAACUAUUUUUAUGCUUAGAUUGGAGGAAGAAGGGACAACCAUCUAGGAAUGUGAUAGGACAAAAAGGGUACGACCUAAUGUAAUAGACAGAGGGGACCACCCAGCAAGGCCUGUCUAUUCAGAUGCUUUUUGGCCUCACUGUGCAGCAUGUCUGGGGCGUAUGGGGCAGGACCCCUUUGGGAUGAGGGGUGAGAAGGGAGAGAGUGACCUUUGUAGAUACUAUGUCUUGCUUUGGGGGAGAGGAGUUCUACUUCCUAUGACCCACCUUGGGGAAGAGGAAUUCUGGUUUCUGUGCCUGGCUGCUGGGGAGAAAGAGGGGCAAGAGACAGAAGGGUGGAAGAAGGUCAGAGAGAACUUGCUUUCUCCUUUAGUUCAAAGUGCUCAGUGUACCAAAGCGCCAGGCUCUGGGGUAUUGUGUUCUCAGCCCCAUGGCGUAAAGCCUGUUACCCGGUCUUCAGAGAAAAACAGUGUCCUCAGAAAAAAAGAAAAUGACAAGGAACACUUCUAAAGAUUUUCUCUCUUGUCAUCUAAAGAACAUUUUCUCCCUUCAGAGUGAGAAGUGACCCAGGGGGAAAAACCAGAAAGUGAAACUAACUUGACAGGCCAGUGGCAGCGGCAGCCCCUGGUGCCUGCCCUCUGCAGUCCUGUGUCGGCCCAGGCCACGCGUGCCCAGCAUGGUCGAUAUUUGUCAGACGGAUAGCACGUGUCCAGCCAAGGGCCAGAGAAAAUGCCCCCAGAGGAUGCUUGCAUCCUUUCCACAAAGAGUUGUGGUCAGCCCACUGGGGUCUCCACCGGGGUGGCAGGGCUGCAGAUGCUGGUGUGUGCAGGUGGCAGUUCUCGGCCUCCUCCUCAUUGCCUCCCUGUGAGGGGCAGUCAGCCCUGACUACAUAUAGCCCUGGAGCUUGCGGGCAGCUUUCAGCUCGUUGGGAAGGUGUGCUGGGCCUGCGACAUUGACCGGACAGUUCUUCCAGGCAUGAGAGGGAUGCCCUGCCCAGGUCGCUGUCACAGGCACACCCCCUCCCACCAGCCACCCUCUUGCCUUCUUACCCCAAGACCAUGUUGUCAGGCAGGCCAAAAGCAUUUCCCAAUCAUGGAGUCAGAUGUGUCCCAGAAAUCUGCCCUGUGCCCAGGAGAGGUCGAAAUCGCCAGUGGAAUCAAGAACCUCUUUCCCAAUUUGGGGUUUAGAAAUCUCUGGCAAUGAGGAAAUUUCUGGUAGUCAUUUGUAAGAGUUACUCUAUUAAGAAAUAGAGAUAGAGGGUAUGACAUUUCAGAAUGCUAAAAUUUUGUUGCAUUAGAAAGGGGGAAAAUCCGUUUACUUCCCAAACAUCUGGUGGGAGUUAUCACCAAAAUAUAUUUUCAGAUAUCCUCUAAUGCAGAAAAACUGUAUUUUAUAGGACGUGGUUUAUCUGUUUGUAGAUAAUGUGAUUAAAAUACUUCUGCAGUGUCGCUACUAUCUUAAGGUGACUCUUUUUAACCUUCAUACUGUAGGCUUUUUAAAAACACAUAGAGAUGGGGGUCUCACCGUGUUGCCCAGGCUGGUCUCGAACUCCUGGGCUCAAGCAAUCCUUCCACCUGAUCCUCCUAAAGUGCUAGGAUUACAGGUGUGAGCCACCAUGCAUGGCCUACUUAGGCUUUUUGGAAGAUACUUUACACUUUUUGGAAGAAGUGCUAUUUCUUCUGGAUACUUUACACUUUUUGGAAGAAGGGCUAUUAAGUUAUAUAUAUGUAUACAUUGCUUCCCCCCCCGCCCCGCCAAAGGAGUAUAAUUAGAGCAUCUGAAACCAGAUUAUCCAAUUAGUACAUUUUUCUAAUUAGCUGUUAGGAUUUCGUGAUGAGAUAAAUUAUUUUAGAUUUCCAAGUGGAACUUUGGCCACAGGGAGGCUCUAAGGAAGUACACAGGGGAGAAAAAUAAUGGGUUUUUAAAGUUUUGACUCCACCCACUCACCUGCUCCCCCAAAAACCUAAUGUGCCUGCCCAUGAGGCAGCAACAGUGACCAGAAAACAGUUUCUUUUCCUUGUUCUGAGUAAAUGGAGUUGGAAGAAUUAUUCAUUUAUAUUGGCUUUUCUUUGUUCCUGGUAAUGAAGCAGGCAGACAGGGGUUGGCUUUAAAUGCUAUUUUUUCUACAUUUUCAUCAGUCAUAUUAGUAGCUGUUCUUUGGCAGAAAAAAAAAUCUGGUGAUCAGGAUUAAUUCAGAACCUAUUUACUGUGAGCCUUGUAUGUGCUUUCUCUGUGCCAGGUGGCAAUGAAGACCGUCUGUCAGGGGGAUCGGGGGGAUGUCCUGUCAAGACCCAGGGGAUGAAGUCAGGACCCAGCUUUUGCAUUUUGUAACUGUGGUUGAUGCAGGCCCACCAUCCUUUGUCCAAAAUUCUGGAUACGCAAGAAAACUGGAUACUGAACGUUGUUUUUGCCGCUAAUUGAAUGGGAAGACCUGACCCAAACUGACAGACUAUUGGAGUCCAUAUUUAUCCUGGGGAGUGUGAAUACUCAUGGGUUUCCCUGCAGAGAUAUUAAUGUUUGAUUAUGGGUGCUGCCUUGCUGGGGUGUUACAUAAUAUGUGGCAUAGGCACCACAUUCCCUUUCUAAAACUUGAAAAGUUCUGGAACACAUGGCCUGAAGGUUUGGAGUAAGAGACCCUGCCCUGGAGUAGCGUCCACUUAAGACUACAGCAGCCGUGUGCUCAGAGUCCCUGCUCUGCCAGGGCCCGUUUCCACUUCAGCCAUAGGAGGAGCCUGAAGGCAGAUUGAGAGUCCAGCUGACCAGUGGGUGAGAUGCCCAAACAGCUGUACCGCCACCAGGGCAGGUGACUUGGCUGCCCCAUGACCCUCAGAGGCCUUCCCUCACCAGGUGCCAAGCAAAGAUUGUUCAGAAGCAGAUUCUGUUCUGCUGUCAUUGUGAAUACAUCAAUGAAUGAGUACAUCUAUGUUCUAAUAAAACUUUAUGAGGGCCAGGUGCGGUGGCUCACACCUGUAAUUCCAGCACUUUGGGAGGCCGAGAUGGGCAGAUCACUGAAGGUCCAGAGUUUGAGACCAGCCUGGCCAACAUGGUGAAACCCUGUCUUUAUUAAAAAUACAAAAAGUAGCUGGACAUGAUGGCGGGUGCCUGUAAUCUCAGCUAUUUGGGAGGCUGAGGCAGGAGAAUCACUUGAACCCAGGAGGUGGAGGUUGCAGUGAGCUGAGUUUGUGCCGCCGCACUCCAGCCUGGGUGACAGAGUGAGACUCUGUCUCAAAAAAAAAAAAAAAACCCAAAAAACAAAACUUUAUGAAAACAGAUGGUGGGCUGGGAUGGCCCUUUGGCCAGAGUUUGCUGAUGCCUUGUCAAAACGAUAAAUGCAUCCUUAAACAUACUGUUUUCUUCCACAGACUUUAGCCCUGCCAUCUGCCUGCCUGGUCUGCUUGUCUUGUUCCCCACCCCUGGCCAAGUGGAGUUGCCUUAAAGAGAUAAAAGUUGUGCCUCUAGUGUCAGUACCCACCCCUUGCUUGGCUCCUCCAGAUGGUCUGGAAACAUAGAUGGAAAGCAGGCGCUGCCCUCACCGACCUGGCCUCGGUAGCAGGAGUGUGUUUUUGUGUGGACAACUGCAGUUGGGCCCAGGUCCAGCCUUGCUGACGGCUACUCACUUGGGCCUCCACCCACUGAUGAAUUUUGGGGGCAGAGCCAAGCCCCAAGAUAUGUUGGCUGGCAGCCUGGGGCCAGGCAGGGCUGCUGUUGUGGGAGCCCAGUCCCAGGUGGGUUUGUGAGGUGUACGGGGAGUGAGGGGUUGAGAAUGAGUGUUUUCAGAGCUGAUGUGUUCUUAGCAAAAGAAUUUCUGGCAGAGAGAGGUUGAUUAUCGUAAACCCAGCGGCUCUGAUGGAUGAGUUUCAGGUCUCCUGGCUUGUUCAUUCCCAGCCUCGGAAUGUCCAGCAAGGGCGGGGCCAGCCUGCGAGGCCAAGACCUCUUUUCACUGCAUCAGAAGUUUAAAUCCAGUUGAGCCCUCUGACUUGCACCUCUGUAGUGGUCUGGCCUGGGGAAGACUGGCUGGGGUGGACAGAAGGAGGGCGGGACCCUCAGAGCCCACUCUUCUAGUCUGUGUGCUGGAAUCACCCCUGUCCUCCCCAACCUCCAACCCCGUCAAGCUGCACCAAGGAUGUUUGGCCUCUGACUCAAAGAAGGCCUGGCCUUUCCAGGCUGCAGGGCCAGAUCCUCUCAGCCAGCCCCUGCAGCAGGCCCCAGCAUCCCAGAGAGGCAGCGGGUCCCUGUAUGUGCUCAGCACCUUCUCUCUGUAGGCGGUUUCUCUCCCAAGACAUUUGAGACUUUUGCCCUCUGCCUGGUCACCUUCUUUCCUAGCCAGGAUAGGGCUGGUGGAUGGUUUUGUUUUUUUUUUUCCUUAAAGCCAAUUCCAAACAAGGGCUGAUAUUUAGUUGGCCUUUCUUUUUCUUCUCUCAUGGUUUUGUGGGUUGCUGGCACUUUAGGGACUCUGUUCAGAGUGGAGCCUCCUUACUCUACAGCUCGCUGGUAAGCCCUGGUGGCCCAUCAGCCCACAGAAGGGGGCACUCACUCAGUAGAGACGGGGUUUCACUGUUAGCCAGGAUGGUCUCGAUCUCCUGACCUCAUGAUCUGCCCCUGCUUCGGCCUCCCAAAGUGCUGGGAUUACAGGCGUGAGCCACGGCGCCCGGCUGUCAGGUAUAAUUUUUGUAUUGUCUGUGUUAUUGACAUUCACAUUCUCUUCUCCACAAUGUUUGAUUGAUUGAUUGAUUGAUACAGGGUCUUGUUCUGUCACCCAGGCUUGAGUGCAGUGGUAUGAUCUUGGCUCACUGCAAGCCUGGGCUCAAGCGAUCCUCUCAUCUCAGCCUCCUGAGUAGCUGAGAUGACAGUCAUGCACCACCAUGUGUGGCUGAUUUUUGUAUUUUUUGUAGAGAUUGGGUCUCCCUAUGUUGCCCAGGCUAGUCUUGAACUCCUGGGCUCAAGUGAUCCACCCACAUCGUCCUCCCAAAGUGCUAGGAUUACAGGUGUGAGCCACUGCACCCGGACUGGUUAUUUUAUUUAUUAUUAUUUUAUUUAUUUAUUUUUUUGAGACAGGGUCUUGCUCUGUCUCCCAGGCUGGAGUGCAGUGGUGCAGUCAUAGCUCACUGCAGCCUUGACCUCCCAGGCUCAAGCAAUCCUCCCACCUUAGCUCCCCUAGUAACUGAGACUACAGGUGUUCACCACCACGCCUGCUAGUUUUUUAAUUUUCUGUAGAGACUGGGGUUUUACUAUGCAAGCUAUCCUCUUGCCUCAGCCUUCCAAAGCACUGGGAUUACAGGGAUGAGCCACCACGCCCAGCCUUCCACAAUAAAUGUUUAUAGCUUUGUCAACAGGUCGACUCAAAAGAUUCCCAAGAAACAACAUUUACAGGACUAUGAUUAUGAAACGCUGUUUACUGUAAACUCUUUUAGCCAAAGCUAGUUUGAUUUGGGUUUGUGUUGGUUAUGGCCAAUGUGUCCUGACUUAUACACUCAAGUUUUGUUGAGUCGAAUGAGGUGUGUCCACAUGCCUUCAAACACAAGCGGGGACAGAGCUCACCCCAGGCCACCUCUGUGGGCCUGCCACUCACGCAGUCACAACAGAGCCCACCACUAAAAGGGUUCUGUGCUUUGUUUAUGCUUUCACCAUGUUGAAAUUCUUAAUAAUUUUGAACAAAAGGCCCCAUAAAAUAUGUAGCUGGUUCUGAGCUCACCAUUUGCUGGGAGAGGCCUGUGCUUUCUGAGAAAUAGUCUCUCUCCUUGGCCAGGGCUAUGCUCCUGGGAGGGCCCUUAGGCAGGUCCGGAAGCAGCCAUAGAAAGUAAGAGGGAAAGGCUGUGAACCUGAGGGUUGACUUGGUGAAUGGACCUCACAUUGGGAGGUCAGACUGGGCUUCUCCAAGUCCCUCUUACAAAGAGGAAACUAACCUUGGUGAACCUGGGGCUGUGUCAAGGAGAUGGGAUUAUCCCUACAUUUACAGAGAAGCAUCAGGGCUGAAAGAUUUGCCCAAAGGCCACUGGUUAUAAAUGGCAGGUCCUAGAUUCAAGUCCAGGCCUGAUUCCUGCUCCACCGUGCAGCCUCCAGAUCAGUGCUGCGCAUGAAGCAGCAGACCUGGGUUUGAGUUCUUGCCCUGCUCCCAAUUUGCUGUGUGUCCUUUAGUGAGGGACUUGCCCUCUCUGGCCCACUUACCCUAGCAGUCCUUUGAGAGAGCUGAUCAACUACAAAAGUCCCUUUCAAACAGAAUCACUAUGUAACCAAAUCAUAGAGGAGAGGAAGUCUCUUUUAUAGAUGGAUUCCAGCUAAUAAAUGCUGAAUGAUUGAAAUAUAAUGUCAUUCUGAAGUCCUUAAUGAAUUAAUUGCUUGAAGCUUCCAUGGCUGCUAACAUCAGGAACAAAUAAUUGGACAUUAUGUGCCUCCUAAUAGAAGAAUUUGAUGCCAGCUAAGGACAUGGUCUUAUGUGUGUGUGUGUGUGUGUGUAUCUAUCUAUCUAUCUAUCUAUCUAUCUAUCUAUCUAUCUAUCUAUAACUUGAAUCUGAUCAAGCCUCUACUUCCAACUGCCAACUUUUAGGAAAAACAGAGGAUAGAGGAACAUGUUGAACUACACCACAGGGGAGCAAUCCACAAAACCCAGAUGGAGGAAAAUACCACAAGACAAACAACUCGUUUCCUCCAGUAAAUAAAUUGCAAGCAAAAACAAAACAAAAACCUUGCUGGGUGUGGCAGCUCACACCUGUAAUCCCAGCACUUUGGGAGGCCAAGGUGGGUGGAUCACCUGAGGUCAGGAGCUCGAGACCAGCCUGGCCAACAUGGUGAAACCCCGUCUCUACUAAAAAUACAAAAAUUAGCCAGGCGUGGUGGUGGGUGCCUGUAAUCCCAGCUACUCAGGAGACUGAGGCAGGAGAAUCGCUUGAACCUGGAAGGCAGAGGUUGCAGUGAGCCGAGAUCGCACCAAUGCACUCCAGCCUGGGCAACAAGAGCAAAACUCUGUCUCAAAAACAAAACAAAGCAAAACCUCUAGACCCAAAAACACUCAGAGAAUAUACUGACGACUGUAAUGUGUAGACCUCAUUUGGAUCAAAAUCUAAACAAACUGUCAAAAAGCAACUGUGUGACAAUUACAAAUUGGAACAUUGACCUGCUCUUUGAUAAUAAUAGCAACUAUUGUUAAUUUGUUUGUUGUGAUUAUGGCGCUUUGUUUUUUGGAAGGAAGAGUUCUUUUGAAGAUAUACCCUGAAAUAUUUAUGGAUGAAAUGAUGUCAUGCCUGAGAUUUGCUUCAAAACUGGCCGAGUGCAGUGGCUCACACCUGGAAUCGAGCACUUUGGGAGGCGGAGGUGGGUGGAUCACUUGAGGUCAGGAGUUUGAGACCAGCCUGGCCAACAUGGGAAAACCCCGUCUCUACUAAACAUACAAAAAUUAGCAGGAUGUGCAGUGGUGUGCACCUGUAGUCCCAGCUACUCAGGAGGCUGAGUCAGGAGAAUCGCUUGAACCCAGGAGGCAGAGGUUGCAGUGAGCUGAGAUUACACCACUGCACUCCAGCCUGGGCGACAGAGUGAGACUUCAUCUCAAAACACACACAUACACACACACACACACAGCGAGGAGGGAUGUGAAUGGGAAGGUGGGUGGGUCUGGAUGAGGCAGGAUGGGUCAUAGGUCGAUGAUUGUCACAGCUGAGUGGUGGGUAUAUCAGGGUUUGUUAUACCAUUGUCUCUUUGUGUGUGUGUAUAAUUUUCAGUUUCUAGCCCAUCGUAAGGGCCUGAGGGUGGGAGUUCUGCGGAUGGCUAGCCAUGCCAUCUCGGAGCAGGGGUGAGGGCAUGACUUUGGGCACACCAGGCCUCGCCUCUCACACCAGGCCUCGCCUCUCUCUCCCCACCUGCCUUGGCCAGGCUGGGCCCUGGAGUGUUGUGCUCACUAGUGCCCAGGCUCAGAUCUUUGUGUUUGGAUAAGCUCAUGGAACCAGACACUGUAAUUGUAGAACUCUGGCC